rnacentral:rRNA from 1 species
GAUGAACGCUGACAGAAUGCUUAACACAUGCAAGUCAACUUGAAUUUGGGUUUUUAACUUAGAUUUGGGUGGCGGACGGGUGAGUAACGCGUAAAGAACUUGCCUCACAGCUAGGGACAACAUUUAGAAAUGAAUGCUAAUACCUGAUAUUAUGAUUUUAAGGCAUCUUAGAAUUAUGAAAGCUAUAAGCACUGUGAGAGAGCUUUGCGUCCCAUUAGCUAGUUGGAGAGGUAACAGCUCACCAAGGCGAUGAUGGGUAGCCGGCCUGAGAGGGUGAACGGCCACAAGGGGACUGAGACACGGCCCUUACUCCUACGGGAGGCAGCAGUGGGGAAUAUUGGACAAUGGACCGAGAGUCUGAUCCAGCAAUUCUGUGUGCACGAUGAAGUUUUUCGGAAUGUAAAGUGCUUUCAGUUGGGAAGAAAAAAAUGACGGUACCAACAGAAGAAGUGACGGCUAAAUACGUGCCAGCAGCCGCGGUAAUACGUACGUCACGAGCGUUAUCCGGAUUUAUUGGGCGUAAAGCGCGUCUAGGUGGUUAUGUAAGUCUGAUGUGAAAAUGCAGGGCUCAACUCUGUAUUGCGUUGGAAACUGUAUAACUAGAGUACUGGAGAGGUAAGCGGAACUACAAGUGUAGAGGUGAAAUUCGUAGAUAUUUGUAGGAAUGCCGAUGGGG